UCCUAUAACCGAUAAUCCCCGUUUAACCUCACCACUCCUUGCCAACCCAGUUUAUAUACCACCGUCGCCAGCUUACCCCAUGAGGGCAUAACAGUAAGCUAAAUGGGCCCCCACCCAGCACGUCAGGUCGAGGUGUAGCGAACGAAGUGGGAAGAGAUGGGCUACAUUUUCUGAAACAGAAUACUACGAAAGGUGCCAUGAAAUAAAACACAAUUGAAGGUGGAUUUAGCAGAAAAAAGACAGUAGAGAACUCUUUUGAAAUUGGCUCUGAAGCGCGCACAUACCGCCCGUCACCCUCCUUUAGCCACAGACAAAAAAUCUAUAAAAACC
rnacentral:rRNA from 1 species